AAACCUCUGGGCGACUGGGUAUUGACCCAGGGCUCUCCCGAAGCUAUCCUAUGGUCUCUUUCUAUCUUUCUACCUGAGGUUCCCUCAUUUCUCUUUCCUCCACCCAAGAACCCUUCGUAAGGUGGCAGCAGGUCGGAGCUGGUCUCCCACGGUCCCCCACAACUUUACUCGGUAAGCCACCGACUUCUAAACCAAAAUGCCUGUAAGCCCUUCCGGAAUCUUCACCCCUUCAGGGUGACAGACUUCCUUCCGGUUUGCCUGCCCAACACUGAAGGCGACUCAGGCCCAUUGAGGGGUAGGAAAAAUCCCUGCCCCUUGGAGUUCCUUUGUUCGGGAGAUGUCCUGCACAGGGAUUCCCCACCCCCACCCCACCCCCACCGUUUUGGCCCCAGAACCGCCAUGGUCUCCGGUCUCCAGCUAAGGCUUGUGAAUGGAUGCUUCCGGGUCUAAGUCCUAUCGCCAAUCGCUUCGAAAUUUGUCCAAAUGAGCUCCCUCAUCCAGGACCACAGCUGAAAACCAGAGACUGAAAUAUCCCUUCUAAUCUUCUUGCUUUUACUAACAUUGAUAAUUAUAGCCUGAUCCUCAAGUACUUCAGAGACCUGAGAAUAUGACAUUUUAAUAAAAAGCUUCUCAUGACUGAGAUGCACCAGCUCCUGGCAGCAGCAUCCUAUACCUCCCCCAAGGCCACAGAAGAACUUCCACCUGGAAGCUUGCUUUAAGUGUGGCAAAGCCAGCCACGAAGCAAGACAGAAGAAAAAAAAACUGCUUUGCACUUUAAACCGCUGCCAAGACCCUGCCCAGACUGGACAAUGGGACAUUGGGGGUUCGAUUGCCCCACUUUGCCCAGACAAGCAACCUGCCUCCUCAGGAAACAGGUUCCUGGGGUCUCCAGGAUGGCAGCCAACCAAAUGCUUCUUCACCCACAUCUCCCACUGAGUGUGAGCCCACUGACUCCCGGCUUCCCCCACCCCCCAUAUCGACCCUUGCCAACAGGAAGCAGCCAGACUUGAACCAGCGUCCAUAAAUACCUGAGAAGGUAGGGAUGUUGGGGAUCUCCCCUGGAGCUGCCCUCUCCAGACCCUGCCCAAAGAGAAACCGCCAAGCAGUGACUCCAGCCCUGGAGGGUAUUUAAGGUCUGGCCCACAGACCUCCCCUUUACAGUUCUCCUCGUGGCUUCUCCCCGUUCCGGGGACCACCCGGGAAUGUUUUGCUCAGGUUAAACCUGGAUUUAUUAAUUCGGCCUGACCUGACUGAAAGCAUGGGUGGAGUCACUCACUACUGGGGGAUUUUUACGUAUCCAACAGGCCUUUGUAAGACGCCUUGAGUGACAGUGACUGAAACCUCACUGGACUGGCAGUGCAAAUCCAGGAGCAGAUUCUCUACUGUUAAGACUCUCAACAGAAUGGGAAAAGAUCUUCACCAACCCCACAUCUGACAGAGGAUUGAUCUCCACAGUAUAUAAAGAACUCAAGAAACUAGACAUCAAAAUACUGAACAAUCCAAUUAA